rnacentral:rRNA from 1 species
UGAUAAGUCAGAUGUGAAACCCUCGGGCUCAACCUGAGGCCUGCGUCUGAUACUGUUGUGCUAGAGUUACUGAGAGGAAGACGGAAUUCCUGGUGUAGGGGUGAAAUCUAUAGAUAUCAGGAAGAACACCUAUUGCGAAGGCAGUCUUCUGGCAGCUAACUGACGCUGAUGUACGAAAGUUAGGGUAGCAAACAGGAUUAGAGACCCUGGUAGUCCUAACCGUAAACGUUGUAUACUAGGUGGUUGAAGUAUUGAUCCUUUGACUGCCGGAGCUAACGCAUUAAGUAUACCGCCUGGGGAGUAUGCCGGCAACGGUGAAACUCAAAGGAAUUGACGGGGGCCCGCACAAGCAGUGGAGCAUGUUGUUUAAUUCGAAGAUACGCGAGAAACCUUACCAGGUCUUGACAUAUACCUGAAUGGUGUGGAAACACAUCCGCCCCUCGGGGCAGGUAUACAGGUGCUGCAUGGUUGUCGUCAGCUCGUGCCGUGAGGUGUUGGGUUAAGUCCCGCAACGAGCGCAACCCUUAUUCUUUGUUGCUAACAGGUUAAGCUGAGCACUCUAAGAAGACUGCCGGUGACAAACCGGAGGAAGGUGGGGAUGACGUCAAAUCAUCACGGCCCUUAUGAUCUGGGCUACAAACGUGCUACAAUGGGCGGCACAAAGAGUUGCGAUACCGCGAGGUGGAGCUAAUCUCAAAAAACCGUCCUCAGUUCGGAUUGGAGUCUGAAACCCGACUCUAUGAAGCUGGAAUUGCUAGUAAUCGCACAUCAUCAUGGUGCGGUGAAUAUGUUCCCGGGCCUUGUACACACCGCCCGUCACAUCACCCGAGUUGAUUAUACCCGACGCAGCCGGGCUAACCCCUUUUGGGGAGGCAGGUUUCUAAGGUAUGAUUGGCAAGGGGGAUGAAGUCGU